AUGCGAUCCGGCUGCUUGGCCGGUAGCCUGCCACGCGGGGGCGGGACCCCGAGUCGAGCGGGAGCGGCCCGGCGGUUAGGUACCAGAGUGGGCGCUUCCGUCGUCCUGCACCGCCGGGUAGGAGGUACACUCGGUUUUCCCUGGGAAAGUCCUCUGGCGAAAGCGUCUUGGAAUUGAGCGCCUCCGACCUCUUGGACAUCUCUGACUGGAUGGAGAAUUACAAUCUCCAAAGAAUACUAGAAACGGCUGAGCUAGGCAGCACGGGCUGCCCUGGAACUGGCAGUCUUCCUCCCUGUGCCUCAAGAAUUGGGAUUACACGUGUGGUCACUGUAAGUGUUGCAGCUCUGAGGGGAAAGGUUUCCCCAACAGAAAUGUUGCAGCUUUGAGGGGAAAGGUAUUCUGGCAGUUGGGAGCCAAGGAAUACCACAAAGCCACACCAUACAACAAACCUCACAC
rnacentral:lncRNA from 1 species